UUUCCCUUCGGUCUCUGUGGGUGUGCCGGACGCCUCUGGCAGGACUAACCCCGGGGCUUUUAUGUCCAACGUGCUGUGCUGUGUGUGCCUGCAGCAUCCUGUCCAAGACAAAGCUACCUUUCUUUCCUCGUGGGAAUGGACUGGCCGGGCUUUGGCAAUCUGGCCCCUCGAAAGUCUUAAGUGACCUCUUCCAGCAGGGGAAGACUGAAGCAAGGGGUGCCAGAAAGAACUGGAGUUUCUGGAGAAUAAAAGCUGGAAGCGUGCCCCCGAAAAUCCCCCCGGGUGGUCAGUGGUCUGACUUGCACGGACCGGUGGCCUUGGCCAGGAGCGGUCCUGCGGGAAGUGCCUUUGCCCAGCCUGUAAUUUUAAUUUCCAUUGGUUGCUUGGCAAAGCCCCUUAGUGCCUGGCAGGAGCAGAGCGGGCUUCCAGGGAGGUAUUCAGCUGGUCAGCGUCAGGAACCAUCCUAACUGAGGCCUCGGCUUUCUCUUUCCCUUCGGUCUCUGUGGGUGUGCCGGACACCUCUGGCAGGACUAACCCUGUGGCUUUUAUGUCCAACGUGCUGUGCUGUGUGUGCCUGCAGGACCUGGGUGAAAAGGACAUUCUCUGAGGUGCUGGGAGAAGGAGGACUCGUGCGGGCACCUCCAGAGACAGCGGGAACGGGAGCGUGCUGCGGAGAAGGAAAAUUCCAGGGGAAUUGCCACGAGAGGAAAUACUUCAGAGGGGCUUCCCUCCAGCUAAGCCCUGAAUAUGCCAGGAGGUUUCAGCCGGGAGGAAAGGAGCUGUGGAAGAAAAGCAGCCUAAAAAUAGCCAGCGGGGAUCAUCAGGUUUUCCAGCCAAGAAGAACAAGGAGAGAGAUGAGGGAAUCGGGUUCCAAUUCCUAAUGAUUUGGUGGGUGCAGGAAUGAUUUCUGUGUGUUUUCCAGUCCCUUUUGAUUCCUGAGAUGAUUUUAAAAUGAUGGCUUUAGCAAUCAACUAAAUCGGAGAUGUUGUUUUUGAGAGGAAAUGAUGCCAAAUAAAUGCAGAGUUUUGGGUCAGUUUUUGGGAUGAUUUGAGUCAGUUUUUGGGGUCAGUUUGGGGUCAUUGUUUGGGGUGAUUUGGGUCAGUUUUGGGUCAGCUUUUGGGGUGAUUGGGGUCAUUUUUGGGAUGAUUUGGGUCAUUUUUUGGGGUCAGUUUGGGGUCACUGUUUGGGGUGAUUUGGGUCAGUUUUGGGUCAGCUUUUGGGAUGAUUGGGGUCAGUUUUGGGUCAGCUUUUGGGAUGAUUUGGGUCGGUUUGGGGUCAAUUUUUGGGGAGCACUGGGUGCUACUGGAGGUUGUUGGGGAGCA